CCUGGCAGCGUGGGCUCACGUCCCAGUCGACGAGGCUACAACUCGCCACCUAUACUCGGCCACACUACC
rnacentral:tRNA from 1 species